GGGUGAGGGGCUGCUGGCGUGGAGGCAGCUGCCUGCUCAGCCCAGCCCAGCUGCAUUUUCUCCUCUUUCACCCUGGUGAGAACCAGCCUUCCUUCGGUUCUGCCUGAGGACCCUGUAGGUGCUGAAAAUGGAAUACAGCUGGCAGGUAGUGGGCGGACAGUGAAAACGUGCCCUGAUAUUAUUCUGAGAAAAAAAAAGAGCUUUAUUGCUUCUUGUCAGACUAUACUAUGUUUUAGGAAGAGUUGGGUUCCCCCAAAGAGAAGGUGCAGGGUGCUGGGAGCAGGAUCCUCAGUUUGUAAGAACGCACUCACUGCUCCAAGGCAGCCAACAAAAAAUUUUUAAAAAGGGUGAUUGAAGGUUCAACUUUUGACAUGUAAAAUCCAGUCAUAGCUUGGGUUUCCCGGAAGCAGUCCCUGAGACAGAGAUUUUAGUGCAACAGUUUAUUUGGGAGGCGAUCCUGGGAAACACCAGAAGGGAAGUGGAAAAUUGAAAUGUCGAAGGAAGCCAAUAAAAUAUGCGUUAUUGAGCAGAUGGCCCCUGUGACCAACUAGGCUCAGUAUCUCUGGGGAACCCCCAGAGACAGUGUAGAGUAAAUUCCAGAAUUAUGCCAUCCAAGGGAAAAGGGAGCUGAAUCAUUCAUCUCUCAGCUGUUGCAAGCUAUUGGUGGAGGGAUUUUCCCAAGAGGCAUUACCUCCCAGGCUUGUCCUCACUUUGCCUGUGUGGCCUCCAGUGGUCAGACAGAACCCAAAGGAAAAGAGCCAGGGUGCGGAUUGGCAGAAGCUAUUCUGGCCCAUGUGCAGAGCAUCAAGAAUGUGUGCUGCAAAAGGGAGAAGAGAAAAAAGUGCAUGAAGUAAAGAAAAAGCAGGGAAUGAGAGAAAAAAAUGGAGGAGUGAGUGCCACAGCCCAGUCAGUAAGUGCUACAUGGAGUCUCACUCUGUCGCCAGGCUGGAGUGCAGUCAGCUCACUGCAACCUCCACCUCCCGGGUUCAAGAGAUUCUCCUGCCUCAGACUCCUGAGUAGCUGGGACUACAGAUAUUUAGAAAUUAUUACAGGAACUUUUUCUGGACAGACAAGAACCUAAGUCUGAACAUCUAAAAGGCUCACAAAGAAUCAAGCAAAUUUAUUGAAAGAGACCAAUACUUAUUAGACCUAUCUUCGUGAACUGAAGAUCGAGAAAAAAAUUCCAAGAGGCAUUUGGACAGAAAAGCAUGUUGACUCCACAGGAACAAAAAUCAAACUGCAUUCAAAAUUCUCCUCUGCAAUGUCUAAUAGCAGGAGAAAUAAAAUAGUACCAACAGAGCUUCAAGGGAAAAAGACUGCAUUCUAAGAAUCCUAUAUUUAGGAAGUUGUUCAAGUGAAAGGGUAAUGGAAGAAAUGUUCUUAGAUGUGCAACUCACUGUUAUAACCUUUUAAACAAAGCCCUCGAAGACCUGAUUUAACUGACAGUGAAUGAAUCUAAAUACAGAGCUGUGGGAUGUGAGAGUCACAUCAGUGACCACUGAAACAAGUAUAAAGAAAAUUAAGUCUAGAUGAUUGUUUUACAUAUAAUUAUAAAACAGAAUAAAAGUGUAAAACGCAACUCUUGGAAGAGGAUAUUUAUAGUAUAAAAAUGGCCUAAUUAUAAUAAUUUGAACCUAAUGUUUUGCCGCACAAAAAUAGAAAUGAAGGAGAUAGAAUGGUAGGAGAAAACACUUAUUUCCUCAUUAUUCCCAAGAGGGAUAUUAUUUAACUCUUGAUAAAGAUAACUGGAAAUACAAACAGGAUGUAUCCUUUCUAAAUUACUAAAAAAAAAAAAAAACAAAAAAAACAAAGAAAAUAAAUUCCAUGUAACAAUCAUACUUUAUGUAACACACUGAAGUUUUUGGUCUUUAAUCUUCUUAUCUCCAGAGAUUGCUGUGACUCCUCGUCCACUCUGUAUCAUAGCAUCACCUCCAGUAUCAUUAAUGCAAGGCACCCCAUUUCUGACCACAGCUUCCUUCUUUUCCUUCUUGGCUUUAUUUUUAUUUCUUUAUUUAUUUUUGAGACGGAGCCUCGCUCUGUUGGCCCAGGUUAGAGUGCAGUGCCAUGAUCUCAGCUCACUGAAACCUCCACCUCUCAGGUUCAAGCAAUUCUCCAGCCUCAGCCUCCUGAAUAGCUAGGAUUACAGGCACCUGCCACCAUGCCUGGCUAAUUUUAGUAUUUUUAGUAGAGACAGGGUUUUGCCACGUUGGCCAGGUUGGUCUUGAACUCCUGACCUCAGAUGACCUGCCUGCCUUAGCCUCCCAAAGUGCUGGGAUUACAGACAUGAGCCACUGAGCCUGGCCACGUUCUUGGCUUUUUAAUUGCAACCAUUGAAAUAGAUCUUGAUUUCACUGUGACCUCUAGCUUCUUUAUCUUCAAUUUGCCCCAUCCUUCAGCCGUCCCCUUUCUUUAGUUUUCUACCUGUCCAGGUUAGAUUUCAGGGUCCAUUGUUUCAGCGAUAGUACUGCCAAAAUCCUAAACUCCCUCGCCCCUUUGGGCUUUUGUCAGACCCCAUCUGGCCGAAGACCAUUCCCAGAGCAACCCACACUGUGUGCUGUCUCUCUUCUUGUAUUUAAGCAGCUGGAGAAAAACACAACAGAGCAGAUUGUACCAUCAUAUAUUCAUGAGCAUCCAUUCUGAAUGGGCACCACAGUGCCAGAAUCCUUCAGAUAUCUCUGGUCAAUCUAUAGUCCAGCAAUCCACAAUGACCAUUCCAGAUCUUCUCUAGCUUCCUUAAAUGCCCAACUUUCCUACCCAUCAACGGAUGCCUUUAUUUCAUAUUUCACAGAGAUAAUAGACACUGUCACAUAAGGCCACUCCCCCCACUCCACACCCCCAAAUCCUGCUACCAAACUCACUAACAUAACAGCAUCUGUACCCAUCUGGUCCUCCUUCCUGCCUAUUCCAUAGAGGAGCUGUUUUUCUUUCUGAAAGAGAUCAAUUCCUCACAUGUGCUUUAGACCCCAUCUCCUUUCUCCUUCGCAGGAAUCUUAUAAUUUAGGUGGUUCUGUAUCUCCUGAAUAUCCAAUCUCUUUUCAACCUCAUCAAUUGCUUCAAAUUGUAAACAUUAAGCAAAUUAUAUUCAGCUUUCAAAAAAAAAGGGAGGAAAUCCUGUCAUUUGGGACAACAUGGAUGAAACUAGAGGACGUUAUGGAAAAUGAAAUAAAGCAGACAUGGAAAGAAAAAUACUACAUGAUCUGACUUACAUGUGGAGUGUGAAAAAGAACUCAGAAGCAGGAAGUAGAAUGGUGGUUACCAGGGGUCUUAAGGGGUUGGAGGGUUGGGAAGAUGUUGGUCAAAGGACACAACAUUUCAGGAGGAAUAAGUUCAAGAGAGCUAUUGUUUCACACGGGAACUAUGGUUAAUAACAAUGUAUUGCAUUCUUGGAAAUUGCCAAGAGAGUAGAUUUUAAGCGUUCUCACAACAAAAAUGAUUAGUAUGUGAGGUAAUGCAUAUGUUACUCAGCUUAAUGUAGCCAUUCCACAGUAUGUACAAGUUUCAAAGCAACAUGUUGUAUAUAAUAAAUACAUAUAACUUUGGCAAUCAAAUCAAAUAAAUAAAAGAAAAUAAAAAUAAAUGGAGAGAUAUUAUAAAAAUUCUACUGCAUUAAUAGUCACUAAUUCCAGUGCUUUGUAUUCCUUUGUGGAAAGGUUUUCCAAUCGUGUGGCACUAUUGACUUUUUUUUUUUUUUUGGUGACGGAGUCUCGCUCUGUCACUCAGGCUGGAGUGCCGUAGCAUGAUCUCAGCUCAUUGCCAUCUCUGCCUCCCCGGGUUCAAGCCAUUCUCCUGUGUCAGCCUCCUGAG
rnacentral:lncRNA from 1 species